GAUCAUGGCUCAGGAUGAACGCUAGCUACAGGCUUAACACAUGCAAGUCGAGGGGCAGCAUGGUCUUAGCUUGCUAAGGCCGAUGGCGACCUGCGCACGGGUGAGUAACACGUAUCCAACCCGCCGUCUACUCUUGGACAGCCUUCUGAAAGGAAGAUUAAUACAAGAUGGCAUCAUGAGUCCGCAUGUUCACAUGAUUAAAGGUAUUCCGGUAGACGAUGGGGA
rnacentral:rRNA from 1 species